rnacentral:rRNA from 1 species
AAUAGAUACCUGGUAGUCCACCCCGUAAACGUUGGGAACUAGUUGUGGGGUCCUUUCCACGGAUUCCGUGACGCAGCUAACGCAUUAAGUUCCCCGCCUGGGGAGUACGGCCGCAAGGCUAAAACUCAAAGGAAUUGACGGGGACCCGCACAAGCGGCGGAGCAUGCGGAUUAAUUCGAUGCAACGCGAAGAACCUUACCAAGGCUUGACAUACACCGGAAACGGCCAGAGAUGGUCGCCCCGCAAGGUCGGUGUACAGGUGGUGCAUGGUUGUCGUCAGCUCGUGUCGUGAGAUGUUGGGUUAAGUCCCGCAACGAGCGCAACCCUCGUUCUAUGUUGCCAGCACGUAAUGGUGGGAACUCAUGGGAUACUGCCGGGGUCAACUCGGAGGAAGGUGGGGAUGACGUCAAAGUCAUCAUGCCCCUUAUGUCUUGGGCUUCACGCAUGCUACAAUGGCCGGUACAAAGGGCUGCAAUACCGUGAGGUGGAGCGAAUCCCAAAAAGCCGGUCCCAGUUCGGAUUGAGGUCUGCAACUCGA